ACAGCAGUCGCCGCGGGAAUACGGAGGGUGCGAGCGUUAAUCGGAAUUACUGGGCGUAAAGCGUGCGUAGGCGGCUUGUUAAGUCAGAUGUGAAAUCCCUGAGCUUAACUUAGGAAUUGCAUUCGAUACUGGCAAGCUAGAGUAUGGGAGAGGAUGGUAGAAUUCCAGGUGUAGCGGUGAAAUGCGUAGAGAUCUGGAGGAAUACCGAUGGCGAAGGCAGCCAUCUGGCCUAAUACUGACGCUGAGGCACGAAAGCAUGGGGAGCAAACAGGAUUAGAUACCCCCGUAGUCCCUGUCUCUUAUAC
rnacentral:rRNA from 1 species